GGUGGAACAGAGCCGAUUUAUAGCAGCGAAGCAUCUUAUGGGACCAGUGUAGUGAUUUUUCUUAGGUAUAUAAACACAUUGUUUAGAACCUUAAAAAGCAUAAGACCUCUAAUUCUGAGCUACUGCGUUCACGCCAGUGGAAUUGAUUGGCUGUGAUGCUGAGUGUAGAGAAGCAAAUCAUCUCCCUCUCCUCUAGACCGUUUGGCAUACUAUAGUCAUGGUAGUUGAAUUUUAUUUCUUCAGUGGAUGAUGUGCUGCAAAAUAUUUGGGAGACUGGUGGUGGCGACGACGGUGCAUUGGGCUCAUUGUUUCUCGAUUUCGGAUGUCAUAGGGAGUACACCUCUUGUGUGAAUUUACUAUGGCCAGGUUGUGUGUCUAAAUCAGCUCU